rnacentral:lncRNA from 1 species
GGUGGUUUUAAUAAGAAAGAGAAAAAAAUUAGAGGGGUGCAGGUGAUUUUAUAAAGAAAGGGAAAAAAAUUAAAAAAAAAUAUUGAUUAAGGUUAAAAUUGAAAUUUUUAGAGAUAUAAAAUGAAAGGUGGGCAUUGAUCCCUCCACCUCCCUAAUUCCACCCUCCACCUCUCUAAUUUUUUUAACUUUUUCUUAAUUACAAAACUAACCUUUUUUUAUAUUUUUUUUGUUACUUUUUUAACCCUUUUAAUUAACUAACCCUAAUUUUUACUUUACUCUUUCACUUUCACACCUUCACAGACUUUCGAAGUUUCGAAGACAGCCCCACCCCCCCUUCCCUUCACAUUCUCACCCCCACACAGACCUUUCAUUUUCUAAAAGUUUUAAACUUUUCCAGUCAUCUCUUCCACUGCUUUGUUAGCUUUUGGUGCGUGCGGUGGUCCAGCGGUUGUGUGCGGGAGUGCGGCACGGUGGUCGUGGCUCUGUAGUUUCGUUUUUGCCUGCGGGUGUGUGAGGCGGUGCAGCGGCAGCGGUGCGGCGGUGCGUCGCGGUGGUUGUUGCUUCGUUUCAUUUCUGCCGCCGUCUACGAGAGGUUAGUUUUCGUUGCGCGUUGAUUUCUUGGUUUGUAAAUGUAUGUGAUUUUGGGUUUAAGAUUGUAUGGAUUUUUGCUCGCGAUUGUUGUUUGUUUUGCUUCGUUUCGUGCUCUGAUGUUUCUGGUUGUGUGUGCGUAGGAGGAAGAAGACAUACCUUAACGAAUGUCGACAUCCGUUGACGGAUAUUCAGAUUCGUUUAAGGGUUUAGGCUAUUUUUAACAGUGAAUUACCAUACCUCUCCGGUGCUCAAGUAUCUCCUUCCACCACCACGUCUUCAACCACCAGGCUACAAACACGAUCAGGGAGAAUGAGAAGAAGAAUUCUGUACAGUUGCAACUUUCUUCCACAAGGCCAACGAAACCCUAAUUCGCACACCAACGAUUCUCACAUAAAAUUCUGUGAAAGAAAAAAGAACACAAAAAGAAUUUGAAAAACCAAUAAUCAAACAGAAAGGAGAGAGAGCAGAAAGGAGAGAGAGCAUAAACGAGAGACAGCAGAACAUGAGAAAAAAGUUACGUUUUUUACUAGAAAAUCUAUAAAUUAAAUUUUACCUAAGGGUAUAAUAGAAAUAUAAAUAAAAAAUAAAAAUAUAAAUAAAAUAAGAAGGAAUAAAAGUGAGAUGGGGAGGUGAAGGUCUAAGAGGGUGGAGGUGCAGGGAUCAACGCCCAUGAAAGGUUGGAGGUGUAGAGUGAAACACCCCGUUUGGACUUGAGCAAGCCGAAAAAGAAGAAAAAGCCUUUUGACAGAGGAGACACCUUGAGAAGAUGAAAUUAAGGUUUGGGCUUGUCCAACCCAUUUCUGACUCCUUGCACCACCUAGUUUCGUUCAACACUUGGGUAUACUUUUAUUUUGCUUUAUGCACCUCCAUAUUCAAUAUCCCCGUACCCUUUAUGUGCUUUAUUGUUGUUUUUGGGUUUGAAUUUAUUUUACUCGAUGCACCU